rnacentral:lncRNA from 1 species
UUUGAAUUCAGGUUGAAUAAAAAUAAAAGUCUGAAAGGUGGAAAUGACGUGCAGCAAGGAUGCAGGCAGGUGGGGGCAUCGUACAGAUUCUCUUGAGAUCAUUUUAUUCAUCUCAAAUGAUUUUAGCUGAUAGAUUUCCUGUUCUUAUUUCACAACAGUAAGUGUAAUUUAGUUAGCUUACAUGCUUCUCCAGCUACGUGUCAUCGAGAAGGUUUUUAUUUAAAUGUAAACCUAAAAUGUAACAGUCUUCUCUUCCUCCUCACAUUUAUCUUGCAACAUCGACCUCCUGGCUGCACCUCACCCUCCUCUGCAUCUGCUAAACACCCGAAGUGCAGCGCCAGGCAUGGCCAUGUGCGGCUUUUUUGGCGGCUGUUUCCCGCCUGGGUCGUAGGAACGUUCCUGCUGGUUGGAACUUCUAUCGUUUGUGUGGAGCUGCUCGACUCGCCGAUACCUCUGAAGGUGACAUGGAUGCGCGGCGCUUGUGCUUUAAUUAUCUCUGUGUGUCCACAGAGCUUUUUUUCUCUCUCCUUUGGAACCGAGGUCAUUUUCUCCGUGAGCCAAGAGAUUCUCCUCAACCUUGUGUAUUGUGUCCAGGUGUCUGUGACGGAUGUAGAUCCACGAGACGCCACAGAGGGACAGAUCUCCUCCUGAGCCAACUUAACUUAUCAGGAACACGGACCAAAAAAAUCAGGCUAAUUAAUUAAGAACAGUAUUAGAAGUAAUGGGAUAUUAUAAUAUAAAUUGCUACAUUCUGGAACCAAUUUAAUCCAAUUACUGGAACCCCUCAUGAAUAUAAUACCUCCAAAAUCACCCCGUCAGAGUCCAAAGGGAGAGACGUGUCUGGCUACCAAGACAGAAAAGAAAAAGAAAAAACAGCCCCCUUUUUAACGGUGGAAACCAGUGAAGAUUUAAAUGGUUGAAGGGAGCUGUUAAUUUGAGUAAUAAACCUAAUGAUGAUUUUUUUCCCUUCUAAUUGACAUUUUGACCAUUUAAACCUGAGUAGGUUUUUGUUUGAGCUCCCUCAUGUUUGAUAAAGACGGACGACUGGAAAGGCUGAUUGGUUCUUCUUCUCUUAAUGGUUUCUACCCAAUUUGGAAAAAUAAGAAAAUCCUUAGGAGACAAAGGAACGCUAAUCUCUGCCAGCUGAAGUGGAGUACAUUUGGGAACGGUGGACAGGAUGAAUCGACAGAAAGCAUUUGAUGGAGGACAAUUACAUCAUAUACUAUUAUUCUGCUUUGACGUGGCUUUGCUGUUGAAUCUUUCCCACAUAUGACUGUUUUUAUAGAAGCACAAAUGCAGUCUGCUAAUCCUAAAUUCUAAGAUCUUUUGACAGCCCCUAACCUCUCUGAAAGAGCUGGUUGUAUCAAGAUUUCUUCAUUUUAAAAGAAGGGAUUCAUACCAAAAUCUGCCAGGAGGAGAAGCCCUGAAAAUGGAGCACUCUCAUCUGAACUUUAACCUCCGGUUUUGAUGGUCAAGCUCAUCAAGUUAAACCCAAAAGUCCACCAAAGCCAGUUAUAAAAGAGAAAUCUGAUAUAACUGCUCUUUUAUUAUGUAAAGCAGUUGUUAUUUAACUCCAUUUUUCUUGUCAAUCUGUUACAAUAAACUUUUCUCUUUCGUCAGCCUCCUAUGACCUCACUUCCUGUUUUGCCUUUGCACUUCC